rfam:Aedes albopictus isolate Foshan contig112106, whole genome shotgun sequence.
UAGUCUAAUGGUUAAGGCUAUGGAUCGCCAAUCCGGAGACGGCGGGUUCGAUUCCCGU